rnacentral:rRNA from 1 species
UGCUCCCCGCUCAUUCCUUUAAGUGAACUGCGACGGCAGAAAAUCUGCUCGUCGAUUCAGCCUUGCGACCGUACUCCCCAGGCGGCGAGCUUAACGGCUUCCCUGCGACACUUCGAUCGCGAACUGCGAUCGAAUCAUCUAGCUCGCAUCGUUUACGGCUGGGACUACCCGGGUAUCUAAUCCGGUUCGCUCCCCCAGCUUUCACCCCUCACCGUCGAGCGCGUUCUGGCGGACCGCCUUCGCCACUGGUGGUCUUCCGCGGAUCAAAGGAUUUUACCCCUACACGCGGAGUACCGUCCGCCUCUCCCGCCUCCUAGUCCCGCGGUAUCCUCUGCAGGCCAGCCGUUGAGCGGCUGGAUUUAACAGAGGACUGACGGAACCGGCUACGGGUGCUUUAGGCCCAAUAAUCGUCCCGACCACUCGAGGAGCUGGUAUUACCGCGGCGGCUGACACCAGACUUGCCCUCCCCUUAUUCCC